rnacentral:lncRNA from 1 species
CAACCCUGUUAAGGCAGGACUGAGAGCCCAGACUCGUUAGGAAUGAAGGUUUGGGUCACCCCACCUGGCAAGGAACCAUGACCGGCUCAGGUACCACCUUUUCUUCUGACGAAACUUCUGCCUUGGGCCCCUGGUGAUUACUGUGUUGGGCCGAGUCUAAGAGGCCCUCGGCAAUGUCUGCCUCCCAGUAGUCACACACUUCCUCUGGAGUGUGGACACUCGGUUCUAGCCAAUGGGGUACACCAAAGGUGAUGGGACAAUGUCAUUUCUGCAAUGAGGUGAUGUAAGUGUAUGGCCUCCAUCUUGCCAGCAGUGAUGAAGCAACUGCCAUUGUGGAGAGGCCCAUGGGGCCAGGAGCUGAGGAGCUGAGGUCCUCCAGUCCAACAGUCUGCAGGGAGCUGAAUUCUGCCAGAACCAUGUGAGUUAGGAAGCAGAUCCUUCCCCGGUGGUGCUUUCAGGCUCUGAGGACCGGCGGCUGAGAUUAAACAACUUAUUACACAAAGAACCAUUUAAUUGCAAGCACAAUCACGCUUAGUGGAGAAGGAGAGAACGGAGCACGGUUUAAGAUGAUCUCCUCACCAGUUCUAAAAGAGAC